rnacentral:rRNA from 1 species
GACAGAGGUGCCAAGCGUUAGGCGGAAUCACUGGGCUUAAAGCGUGUGUAGGCGGGUGCCUAAAUACCUUGUGAAAUCCCCCGGCUCAACCGGGGAACGGCUGGGUAUACUGGGUGCCUUGGGUCAUCUAGGGGCUGCCGGAACAAAUGGUGGAGCGGUGAAAUGCGUAGAUAUCAUUUGGAACGCCAACGGCGAAAGCAGGCAGCUGGGGAUGCACCGACGCUGAGACACGAAAGCCAGGGGAGCGAACGGG